AAGAUGAUGUUAUUCCAGUCAUUUCGACUAGUCGUUUUGUUGUUAUUUUCAUUAUUUUCAUUUGGCCAGUAUAAGUUGCUCUGUUUUUUUUUUACCUUUCUUUUGUCUGGUAAUGUUCUUGUGUAACACAACGUCUCAUAUAUUAUUUUGAAUAAACCUUGGUCCAUUUUUAUCAUCUUCAUCUUUGGACUUUACGUGACAACGAUUUGCUGACUCAUCCAAUACCCAGGAAUGAAAAAAACAUUCAUCAUUCAUUAAAAAUAAUCAACUGAUGCAGCUUGACAAAAUGUUUGAUUUGUACUGAGCAACAAUCUAGCAAAUUAUGUUUUCUAUAUUCCAUACUCUCUCUCUCUCCCUCUCUCUCUCUCUCUCUCUCUCUCUCUCCCUGUGUGUGUGUGUGUCCUCAUUUGUGUAGCUUUGUGAAGGCAACAAGUUGAAGGGUAAUUACCUUUUCAUUAUGUGGAGGAGAGGAAAAAGAGAGGAAAAAGAUGUAGCAGUCUGUCAGCUGUCCUGGUCUGAAAGGUCAAAGUGGGAGAAGGCAGAGGGAGAGAAAGGCCAGCAGUGACGUGUCCCAUUCAAAAACACAUGGCACGUCACAAGUCUUUAUCACAACAGAGACAGCUCACUGCGCUGCCCUAACCAAACUGCAAUUGCAAUUCAAAUUCAAUCACUCUGUGAAUGGCAUCUUUCAGGUCACCGAAGCUACCCAGAUGCAGUAUGUAUCCAGAUAGUCACUGCAGUCACCCGGAUCAAGUCUGUAUCCACUCCAGAUGGUGGAUCAGCACCUAUAGAUGACCUCUACAGCCCUGGAUGUCAGUGGAGACCAUGUCAACUAGAUGAACCCCUACGAGGACCUUAUUAACUAGACAGCCAUCGGCACAAGUCCACGGGAACUGGACGAAUCCUCUGCACAAUUCUGACUUGUGUUGCAGUCUGGAAUUAAGCCACAAUAUGCUGGUUUCGUUUGGCUAGAGGAGAACUUGCCCCCCAACUAAGCCUGGUUUCUCCCAAGGUUUUUUUCUCCAUUUCUGUCAACAGUGGAGUUUUGGUUUCUUGCUACUGUCGCCUUUGGCUUGCUUAGUUGGGGACACUUAAUUUCUGGCAAUAUUGUCGAUUUGAUUGCACAGAUACUAUUUGAACUGAACUGAGCUGGACGAUGACAUCACUGAAUUAAUGAUAAACUGACUUUGAAAAAUUGAGUGUUUACCAUUGUCCUCUUGCAUUAUCGACACACUAUUUUCC
ensembl:lncRNA